CCUACGGGCGGCAGCAGUGGGGAAUAUUGGACAAUGGGCGAAAGCCUGAUCCAGCCAUGCCGCGUGUGUGAAGAAGGCCUUCGGGUUGUAAAGCACUUUCAGUGGGGAAGAAAGCCUUGGGGCUAAUACCCUCGAGGAAGGACAUCACCCACAGAAGAAGCACCGGCUAACUCCGUGCCAGCAGCCGCGGUAAUACGGAGGGUGCGAGCGUUAAUCGGAAUUACUGGGCGUAAAGCGCGCGUAGGCGGUCUGAUAAGCCGGUUGUGAAAGCCCCGGGCUCAACCUGGGAACGGCAUCCGGAACUGUCAGGCUAGAGUGCAGGAGAGGAAGGUAGAAUUCCCGGUGUAGCGGUGAAAUGCGUAGAGAUCGGGAGGAAUACCAGUGGUGAAGGCGGCCUUCUGGACUGACACUGACGCUGAGGUGCGAAAGCGUGGGUAGCAAACAGGAUUAGAUACCCUGGUAGUC
rnacentral:rRNA from 1 species